rnacentral:rRNA from 1 species
CGGGACGGGUGAGUAACGCGUGAGUAACCUGCCUUACACAAGGGGAUAGCCGUUGUAAACGACGAAUAAUACCCUAUGAAACUAUCACUUCGCAUGAAGCGAUAGUCAAAGUGUUAGCGGUGUAAGAUGGACUUGCGUCUGAUUAGCUAGUUGGUGAGAAAAAAGCCCACCAAGGCAACGAUCAGUAGCCGGCUUGAGAGAGUGUACGGCCACAUUGGGACUUAGACACGGCCCAG